ACUUGCAAUAGCAAAUUAUACUGUACCAAUAUCGUAUAGUGAGUCAUGUAAGUCGAAUAAAGUAUAAGGCCUAGUCAUUAUAGUAUGCAAUUGUUUAUAAUAAGUUAUUUCAAAAUCUCAUAUGGCUUUUUAUCUUAUUUUCUUUGACAGCUGGUGAUGCAAAAUAAAAUAGCAAGAACAAUACUGGGGUAUGAUCCAAAGUCGCAUGUGACAGCCCUUGGUCGCGCUAUAUAGAACCAGAUAAAUAAUGAACAGAAAGAUACGAAGAGAUUAUGGCAACGGAAAACUCAACUGUGUGGAAUGCGAAAACAAAUAUAUACCCGGUUCUAUGGAAAUAAAACUUAUAGCUGCAAACAUGCAGCAUUGCACGCAAGUAUAUGAAUGAACAGUCAACUUUCCGAUGGGACUACAUCACAAAUUGCGUGGUGCAUGGCAUACGUAUUGUUUUUCGAAGUCUUGAAAAGACCUUGAAAACCUCUUCUGCGAUUCUGACAUUUUGUAAACAAAUGAGAACAUAUGGGACAUGGGACAAUUACAAUGCAAUCAACUGAUUGAUUGCAACGCGUAGGCUAUAUCGACUAAGAUUAGACGAUAAACGCCUAUUUUGGGCGCAACGGACGCAUUUUGAACUAAUCGAAUCAAAAUUUAAUGAACUACAGAACGUAAUUCCAACAAAUAUUUACUUGGCAGUUGGCAACCGAACUGGCUCUAAAGUAUUUUUGAACAUGUAUAUAAAAUAAUAUGGUGUAGAAUAAUAUAUAUAAUUGGAUAUAAUGUAUAACUAUAUAUAAUGUUAAGUAAUUUAUUGAAUAAAAUUCUCAG